rnacentral:rRNA from 1 species
AUUGAACGCUGGCGGAAUGCUUUACACAUGCAAGUCGAACGGCAGCACGGACUUCGGUCUGGUGGCGAGUGGCGAACGGGUGAGUAAUGUAUCGGAACGUGCCCAGUCGUGGGGGAUAACGUAGUGAAAAUUACGCUAAUACCGCAUACGAUCUAUGGAUGAAAGCGGGGGAUCGCAAGACCUCGCGCGAUUGGAGCGGCCGAUAUCAGAUUAGGUAGUUGGUGGGGUAAAGGCCCACCAAGCCAACGAUCUGUAGCUGGUCUGAGAGGACGACCAGCCACACUGGUACUGAGACACGGUCCAGACUCCUACGGGAGGCAGCAGUGGGGAAUUUUGGACAAUGGGCGAAAGCCUGAUCUAGCCAUUCCGCGUGCAGGAUGAAGGCCCUCGGGUUGUAAACUGCUUUUGUACAGAACGAAAAGGUUUCUACUAAUACUAGGAGCUCAUGACGGUACUGUAAGAAUAAGCACCGGCUAACUACAUGCCAGCCGCCGCCGUAA